rnacentral:tRNA from 1 species
AUUCUUUUAGAUUAUUUAAAUCGCCCACUUUGGAUGUGGGAAAUACUUUUAUUAAUA